UGCCACAGCCAUAUCACUCUGCAGCCCAAGACCAGCACUGAAGCUAAGCAGGGUUGAGUCUGGUCUGUACCUCGAUGGGAGACCACACGGGAAAAGUAGGUUGCUGUUGUAA
rnacentral:rRNA from 1 species